rnacentral:lncRNA from 10 species
AGGGGAAGCCGAGCCCCAAGGGUAGGCUCAGGCGACGGCGCCGCCCACACAGACCCACCAGCCAGUCACACACGUCUCCUUUGCUUUAUCCUCAGGAUCUGAAGACAGUGCUCUCCCUGCCCCGCUACCCAGGGGAGUUCCUGCACCCCGUGGUGUACGCGUGGCACCCAUGACGCUGUGUCUGGUGCGUCUGGAGAGGGCCAGCUCCAGGCUCACAGACGGCACCCACUGCCUGUGUCCCUGCCUGUGUCCCUGCAU